AUCCCUGACUCUGGAGAGUCCCUGAAAACAGGGCGCCGAAGGUGUACGAGUGGAAAAAGAUGGCAGAGCCGUCCCGCUUAAUCUCUCAGGCAAAAGGACAGAGCAUUCUAU
rfam:Firmicutes bacterium CAG:534 genomic scaffold, scf290